UGCGUAGGUGGCGCCGUUAGUCAGGUGUGAAAUCUCGGGGCUUAACUCCGAAACUGCAUUUGAUACUGCGGUGCUUGAGGACUGGAGAGGAGACUGGAAUUUACGGUGUAGCAGUGAAAUGCGUAGAGAUCGUAAGGAAGACCAGUGGCGAAGGCGGGUCUCUGGACAGUUCCUGACACUGAGGACGAAGGCCAGGGGGAGCGAAACG
rnacentral:rRNA from 1 species